rnacentral:rRNA from 1 species
GCCUAAAGGGGCCGUAGCUUGAUAAUAGGGUCCCUUGAGAAAUCCGCCGGCUUAACUGGCGGGCGUUCAGGGGAAACUUGUUUUCUAGGGACCGGGAGAGGUGAGGGGUACUGCCGGGGUAGGAGUGAAAUCCUGUAAUCCCGGUGGGACCACCUAUGGCGAAGGCAUCUCACCAGAACGGGUCCGACAGUGAGGGACGAAAGCUGGGGGAGCAAACCGGAUUAGAUACCCGGGUAGUCCCAGCUGUAAACUAUGUGCGUUAGGUGUGUCAGUGACCACGUGUCACUGAGGUGCCGAAGGGAAACCGUGAAACGCACCGCCUGGGGAGUACGGUCGCAAGGCUGAAACUUAAAGGAAUUGGCGGGGGAGCACCACAACGGGUGGAGCCUGCGGUUUAAUCGGACUCAACGCCGGGAAUCUCACCGGAUAAGACAGCUGAAUGAUAGUCGGGAUGAAGACUCUACUUGACUAGCUGAGAGGAGGUGCAUGGCCGUCGUCAGUUCGUACUGUGAAGCAUCCUGUUUAGUCAGGCAACGAGCGAGACCCACGCGAGCAGUUGCCAGCUUGACCUUCGGGUUGAUGGGGACACUGCUCGGACCGCCUCUGCUAAAGGGGAGGAAGGACUGGGCAACGGUAGGUCAGCAUGCCCCGAAUUAUCCGGGCUACACGCGGGCUACAAUGGACAGGACAAUGAGUUUCGACACCGAGAGGUGAGGAUAAUCUUCUAACCCUGUCCCAAGUUCGGAUUGCGGGUUGUAACUCACCCGCAUGAAGCUGGAAUCCGUAGUAAUCGCGUUUCAACAUACCGCGGUGAAUAUGU